AAGAUGUGUUUGUGAAACACUAUGCGCCCGGCGGCAACAAAGUUCAAAAAAUCUAUUUUUAGCAUAUUGGUCACAGUCAAGGUCUCAAGUAUGCACACCAAAUAUGAAGUCCCUAUUUUCUAUUGUUCAAAAGUUAUGGCAAAAAGUGUAAAAAGCUAUUUUUAGCAUAUAGGUCACAGACAAGGUCACAAGAUCAUUGACCUUGUCGACGUUUGAAAGGACUUUAUUAGUGGAGUAAGUAUACCAAAUAUGAAGUCCCUAUCUCCUAUGGUUCAAAAGUUAUGACAAACAGUGGAAAAAGCUAUUUUAAGCAUAUAGGUCACAGUCAAGGUCAUUGACCUUGAUGUCAUUUGAAAGGACUUUAUUAGUGGAGUAUGCAUACCAAAUAUGAAGUCUCUAUCUCUUAUGGUUCAAAAGUUAUGGCGAAGGUUAAAAUUGACAACAGACAGAAAGACAAACAGACAAACAGAUAAACAGACAAACAGACAGGACAAAAACAAUAUACGCCCGGGAUCUAUCGA